rnacentral:tRNA from 1 species
GGCUCUUUCGUCUAUCGGUUUAGGAUAUCUCCCUGUCACGGAGAAGAGACCAGUUCAACUCUGGUAAGAGCCGCCA